rnacentral:tRNA from 3 species
GGGGGCUUAGCUCAGUUGGUUUAGAGCAUCUGCCUUACAAGCAGAGGGUCGGAGGUUCGACUCCUUCAGCCCCCACCA